GUUGAAGGAGAAAGACAGGAUUGCGAAGAUAUUUGAAGCAUAUCCAUGUUUCAAAGACCCUCAAAAUGCAAUGGAUGAGCUGCGUCGCAUCUUGGGUGGCACCAACCCCAAAUACAUUGAUGAAACAAAGAAAAGAUGGGAAAACUUCUGUGCCAAUGUCCAGUUCUAUGGUGUGUGGAAGAAAGUCCUGAAACCCCCUAUACCCUUGAAUAUGCAUGAUGCGGAUUUCACCAUUGCCAUUUUGACUGGUCUCCCAUCACUAUUUCCCUCACCAACUUCGCCACCAAAACGGCUCGGGAAUCCCAGUGAAGCACUAUUGCAUGUCCUUCAGGCAAGGGAGGAUCCAUCGCUUUACUUGGAGAAGCGUCCUCUCACCAGUCCAGUGUUACUGUUUGAUGGAAAGGUCUGCAUCCUUGCCAUGGGAAACGUACCUGUAAGCACCAUACCAAAGGAGGAGUUCUUUGAUGGGAUGUUGAUGUUAAUGGCAUACUACUACACGAUGCACCUGACGUACCCAAAAUGUGUUGCAACCCUCCUCUCGGUCAUUCAAACUGAGGUACUGUGUGAUGCGAUCCAUGAUCGAGAUGCUACAGGUGCAUAUAAGAGGGCAAUGGCGGAGUGGAAAUCAUUUAUUGAGAAGUAGUUGCACAUGGCCUGUUUUUUUUUUGUUUACUAGUGGGGAAACUCAUGUUCAAAUGCAGUUGUUCACUGUCUAUUUAAAUCCCCCUCCUCUCCCAUGUCUCUCUCUGUCAAUCUUUUUCUUUCCCUCUUCUCUCUUUCUCACACAUUCUUUCUCUCUACUCUCUCACACUCACUCCUCCCUCACCUACCCACAAACAAGUGGUUUAAUAAUCAAGCAUUCACAAAGUGGAAAUCCUUUACUAAGAUGUAGUUGCAUAACUUGGUCUAUCUUGCUGUUUGCUCAGUAUACUGAGAUGUAUCUUCAUUCCAUGUUCUUGGGAAGUUGACUGUACUAGUGGUAAGGUGAUGUUGUGCAGUUGUUCACUGUCAAUUGCUGCAAAGUACUGUGUACUUCAAUUGUUUAGUGUGUAUUAAACAAGUGUUUGAUAGUUUUACAGUACUGUCAAUAAAUGUUGACAGAAUUUU